UUGUCUCCAUUAGGAGAGAUGUGAAAUGACCUGUCCCGCAAGAGCUCUAGGUGCUGUUCCUCUUUGUUUCUCUCCAGCCACCCCAGCAGAGUUUCUCCUGUUUGGCAGUCGACAUGUGUGCAGCUCGUCUGUCCUUGGGAUUCCACUGGUAAUUCUUUGGAGCAACACUAUGCCUUUGCGACUUAAUCAUCAGCAUUUGGAAUACAGUUUCUUUUGUCUGAGCUCGAACUGA
rnacentral:lncRNA from 1 species